GUUGGCCAGAGUGGCAUUGGAGACAAAGAAUGAACACAGGAGGAAAAGGAAGAGCAGACCCUGGAGGAGUCCAUCCAGGCUGCUGUAACAAAAUGUCCCAGGCUGGAUGAUUUAUAAACACAGUUCUGGAGGAUGAAGUCCAGUAUCAAGGUAUCAGCAGGGGCAGUUUUUGGUGAAAGACCUCUUCCGGGUUGCACACUGCUAAAUUCUUGCUUUGUCCUCAUAGGAGGUCCGAAAUCUUCGGGGGUGGUCAUUUAUCGCCACCUUCUGGCAGCAUGCUUCUGUCAAUUCACUCUUCUUCAUCAUAGUUCAGCAAUGGUCUCAGAGUCUGAAACUUCCUGGGAUUUCACCCAGAUUGUAUACAACUGCACUACACAGCCCUACUCUGAACCAUCCAGUGUGCCAGAGAAAACCCCAGGAAAUGCUUGAGGACUUGGCCUCUCCUCAGGAGGACAAUAGGAGACUUUGUACCACUUCACCAGCUUACUCCAAAGCCACCAGAGGCUUUUCCCUACAGAUAGAAGACCGAAGCCCUGCAUUUCCAUCUUUUCAAUAACCUGUUCAGUUGUGACUAUUAAUUUUUUUUUUUAAAUAUGUGGUGUGGUGCGCCUAGAUGGCUCAGUCAUUAAGUGUCUGCCUUCUGCUCGGGUCAUGAUCCCAGGGUCCUGGGAUGGAGCUCCGCAUUCAGUGGGAGGCCUGCUUCUCCCUCUCCCACUCCCCCACUGCUUGUGUUCCCUCUCUCACUGUGUCUCUCUUUGUCAAAUAAAUAAAUAAAAUCUUUAAAAAA